AUUUGUUACUUCAAGGCUGGAUUACUGCAACUCUUUAUUAUCAGGUUGUCCCAAUAAGUCCAUUAAAACGCUCCAAUUAAUUCAGAACGCUGCAGCACGAGUACUGACAGGAACUAGAAAAAGAGAUCACAUCUCUCCUGUACUAGCUUCUCUGCACUGGCUCCCUGUAAAAUGUAGAAUAGAAUUUAAAAUCCUCCUCCUCACCUAUAAAGCUCUUCAUGGUCAGGCCCCUUCAUAUCUUAAAGAGCUCAUAGUACCCUAUUACCCCACUAGAACACUACGUUCUCUGAAUGCUGGGCUACUUGUGGUUCCUAUAGUCUCUAAAAGUAGAACAGGAGCCAGAGCCUUCAGUUACCAAGCUCCUCUCCUGUGGAACCAGCUUCCAGUUGUGGUUCGGGAGGCAGACACCCUCUCCACAUUCAAGAGUAGGCUUAAGACAUUCCUCUUUGAUAAAGCUUAUAGUUAGGGCUGGAUCAGGUGAGUCCUGAACCAUCCCUCAGUUAUGCUGCUAUAGGCCUAGACUAUCGGGGGAUUUCCCAUGGUGCACUGAGCUCCUCUCUUCCUCUCUCUUUCUGCACUCAUUCAUGUUCCAUUAAUGCAUUUUACUACCUUCACUUCUUCCCCGGAGUUCUUGUGCUUUCCCGUCUCGCAGGUUCUCAUGGAUCCUGGUGGAGCCUCCUGCCAUGGUCCUGCUUGACUGCCAUUGCCAAUACUGUUGUUGCUGUGCACCUGUCUGUCUGUCUGUCGCUCUCUCUCUCUCUCUCUCUCUCUCUCUCUCUCUCUCUCUCUCUCUCCUCUCACCCCAACUGGUCGAGACAGACGACCACCCACCUAGAGCCGGAGGAUCUGUCCUAGGUUUCUGCCUUUUAACAGGCAGUUUUUCCUUGCCCUUGUCGCCAAGUGCUUGCUCAUGGUGGUACUGUUGGGUCUCUGUAAUUAAUGUUAAAGAGUUCGGUCUAGACCUGCUCUAUUUGAAAAGUGUCCUGAGAUAACUUCUGUUAUGAAUUGGCGCUAUACAAAUAAAAUUGAAUUGAAUUGAA